rnacentral:lncRNA from 1 species
AUGGCCUACCUCAGUCGGCCGGAUGACUCUCUCCCUACACUAAUGAGACUAUUCGAAACAUAUGGACAUCUCUCAGGUUACAAGAUUAAUAUAUUGAAAACACAGGUUUUAACAUUACACUAUACCCCAUCAAGGUUGAUACAAGAAUCUUACAAUUUCAAUUGGAAGCAGAAAACAAUCAAAUACUUGGGGGUCUGCAUUACUACGAGUGUAACUAAACUAUAUAAGGCAAAUUAUAACAAUAUUAAUCGGGAUAUUCAAAGAGACAUAGAAAGAUGGCCUACUUUACCAUUAGAUUUCAGCUCACGAAUUGAGGCAAAGGAUAUCAACCAACUAAAAUGGCUGGCAUUUGAUAGUAGUUUCAAACCAAACGAAUAUGACAGGGCAUUCAAAACAUGGUUAACUAAGGGAAUCACGGCAUGGUGCACUUUAGAGGAGAAAGGGGAGCUGGAGAGUUUUCAAAAUGUGAAGGAUAAAUACGAUCUGGGGAAACAUGACUUUCAUAGAUAUCUACAACUAAGGGAUUAUUACAAGAAGAAAAUCAGAAGGGAUCCCUCCAUGGAAGUGUGGGGUGUAACUCAACUUCUAAUCAAAUCAUAUGCAGGAAUUUCUUUUAGAAUUAUAUCGGCAUUAUAUAAAGCAUUGACAGUAAAUAAAAAUUCAACAAAAUAUGUAAAAGAAAAAUGGGAAUCGGAACUCAGCAUAGACAUUACGGAUCAACAAUGGCAAGAGAUGUGGAAAACACAUCAAACCACCACCAGCUCACAGUCAUGGAGGGAAUUCUCGUGGAAAAACCUGAUACGAUUCUUUAUCACGCCUAAAAUAAAAAAUAAAUAUUCAAAAACCAAUUACUUGUGUUGGAGAGAAUGUGGCGAAUUAGAAGCAGGCCAUGCUCAUAUCUUUUGGAAAUGUAAUAAAAUUGUAAGGUUUUGGGGAAUGGUACACAAUGUCAUGCAGAAGAUACUGGGAUAUAAUAUCCCCAUGAACUGUGAGACUCUGUACAUGUGUAACCUGAAUGAAGGACAUAUACAUAUUGGAGAUAGAUAUUUGGUAAAGAUACUAUUGAUUGCGAAUAAGAAAGCUAUAACUAGAAAUUGGUGUAAGGUAGACCCACCUAACCAGGAUCAGUGGAUGGCAAUUGUCGAGGAAAUAUACAUAAUGGAGAAGAUGACAUUUUGUAUGAGACUACAAGAGGUGCAGGGUGAACAAAAAUGGGAGAAAUGGACUAUAUACAAGAACUCAAACAGCGAUAGACACGAGGACCUGGGAAAUGAAGACUGA